CUAAAAAUAACAACGGUGGGCCACGUUUUAGAAGAAAACUAUAUUCUUUUAAAGAAAAUGAAAACAUUCUCAAAGGAAAAACUUAAUUUAAGUCAAAUCAUAGCGUUGGUCCUGGAGCCCAAUCCAGUGCUUUCCUGCAGGGCCCGCCCGCGGGCC